UUCGAGGGGGGCAAGUGUUGUUCGUAAUGACUGGGCGUAAAGGGUAAGUAGGCUGUUAAAACAUACAUGACGUUUAAAUGCUGUAAGUAAUGCUUAUAGAAAGACCGAUAGAAAGUUUUAACUAGAGUUAGCUCAAGAAUAUAGAAUUUUUUUUUGUAGGGCUAGAAUCUGAUUAUAGAAAAGAACGAGAAUGCCGAUUGGUGAAAGCAUUACUCUGGAGUUUAACUGACGCUCAGGUACGAAAGCGUGGGGAGCAAAUAGG
rnacentral:rRNA from 1 species